CCUACGGGAGGCAGCAGUGAGGAAUAUUGGUCAAUGGCCGAGAGGCUGAACCAGCCAAGUCGCGUGAGGGAAGAAUGCCCUAUGGAUUGUAAACCUCUUUUGUCAGGGAGCAAAGUCAGCCACGUGUGGGUGUUGGAGAGUAUCUGAAGAAAAAGCAUCGGCUAACUCCGUGCCAGCAGCCGCGGUAAUACGGAGGAUGCGAGCGUUAUCCGGAUUUAUUGGGUUUAAAGGGUGCGUAGGCGGGUUAUGAAGUUCGCGGUAAAAUCGUGGAGCUCAACUCCAACCAGCCGUUGAAACUGAUGAACUUGAGGAGACGAGCAGUAGGCGGAAUGCGUGGUGGAGCGGUGAAAUGCAUAGAGAUCACGCAGAACUCCGAUUGCGAAGGCAGCAUACCGGCGCCCAACUGACGCUGAAGCACGAAAGCGUGGGUAGCGAACAGGAUUAGAUACCCGGGUAGUC
rnacentral:rRNA from 1 species